UUUUUUUUCCUUUUUUCUGUUUUUUUAGUUUUAGGUUUAUGUUUAGUUUAGAUUUAGUUUUAGUUUUAGUUUUAGGUUUAGUUUUAGUUUAGUUUUAGGUUUAGAUUUAGUUUUUUUCCUUUUUUUCUGUUUUAUUAGUUUUAGGUUUAUGUUUAGUUUAGAUUUAGUUUUAGUUUUAGUUUUAGUUUUAGAUUUAGGUUUAGUUUUAGGUUUAGUUUUAGGUUUAGUUUAGUUUGAGGAAAGAAGAAGAAGAAGAGAAAAGGAGGAGAGGAGGAGAAGAAGAAGAGGAAAAAGGAAAGGAAGAAGAAGAAGAAGAGGAGGAGGAGAAGAAAAAAUAAGAUGAGGAAGAAGAAGAAGAAGAAAAAAGAGGAGAGGAGGAGAAGAAGAAGAGGAAAAAGGAAAGGAGGAAGAAGAAGAAGAAGAAGAAGAAGAAGAAGAAGGAAAAAAAGGAAG
rnacentral:lncRNA from 1 species